rnacentral:rRNA from 1 species
AGUGAACGCUGGCGGUAGGCCUAACACAUGCAAGUCGAACGGCAGCACAGUAAGAGCUUGCUCUUACGGGUGGCGAGUGGCGGACGGGUGAGGAAUACAUCGGCAUCUACUUUUUCGUGGGGGAUAUCGUAGGGCAACUUACGCUAAUACCGCAUACGUCCUACGGGUGAAAGCAGGGGAUCUUCGGACCUUGCGUGAUUGAAUGAGCCGAUGUCGGAUUAGCUAGUUGGCGGGGUAAAGGCCCACCAAGGCGACGAUCCGUAGCUGGUCUGAGAGGAUGAUCAGCCACACUGGAACUGAGACACGGUCCAGACUCCUACGGGAGGCAGCAGUGGGGAAUAUUGGACAAUGGGCGCAAGCCUGAUCCAGCCAUACCGCGUGAGUGAAGAAGGCCUUCGGGUUGUAAAGCCCUUUUAUUGGGAAAGAAAAGCAGCAGGUUAAUACCCCGCUGUUCUGACGGUACCCAAAGAAUAAGCACCGGCUAACUUCGUG